rnacentral:rRNA from 1 species
GACGAACGCUGGCGGCGUGCUUAACACAUGCAAGUCGAACGCUGAAACCAGAUGCUUGCAUUUGGUGGAUGAGUGGCGAACGGGUGAGUAACACGUGGGUGAUCUGCCCUACACUUUGGGAUAAGCCUGGGAAACUGGGUCUAAUACCGAAUAUUCACACCACCGUAGGGGUGGUGUGGAAAGCUUUCUGCGGUGUGGGAUGAGCCUGCGGCCUAUCAGCGUGGUGGUGGGGUAAUGGCCUACCAAGGCGUCGACGGGUAGCCGGCCUGAGAGGGUGUACGGCCACAUUGGGACUGAGACACGGCCCAGACUCCUACGGGAGGCAGCAGUGGGGAAUAUUGCACAAUGGGCGCAAGCCUGAUGCAGCGACGCCGCGUGGGGGAUGACGGCCUUCGGGUUGUAAACUCCUUUCGCUAGGGACGAAGCCUUUUUUGGUGACGGUACCUGGAGAAGAAGCACCGGCUAACUACGUGCCAGCAGCCGCGGUAA